rnacentral:siRNA from 1 species
UUUCGUCGAGAUGUCAAUAA